rnacentral:lncRNA from 1 species
UGAUGAUGAUGAUGAUGGUGAGGAUGAUGAAGUCUCCGUGUGGCAGGAGGCUCAGUUAGCGCGGGACGAGGCCGAGCGCAUGGCCAGUGUCGCUGAAUCUCACUCCCAGCAUCCCUGUGUCACCAUGGAAAUGGUUGCCAAGGACACACCAGGAGACACAAGCACACAGCCUGAUGAAGAUGCAGACAGUGAGAGAAUCGAGUGGCUGAGCGCUGCACUGUGCCGUAAGGAGCAGAUGAUCAGAGAGCUGACGGAGGAGAAGAUGGAGCUGAGACAGAGAUUGAGACCACAUGGAGGAGCAGCUGCAGCAGCUGUCUGUGUCUCUGCUGCAUCUGUCUGCACACACACACACACACACAUGUUUGUUUUUGUGAAAAGUGGGGACAUCCCAUAGGCGUUAUGGUUUUUAUUCUGUACGAACUGUAUAUUCUAUUGCCCUACACCUAACUCUACCCCUUACAGGAAACUUUGUGCAUUUUUACUUUCUCAAAAAAACUCAUUCUGUAUGGUUUAUAAGCGCUUUGAAAAAUGGGGACAUGGGUUAUGUCCUCAUAAGUCACCCUCUCCUUGUAAUACCUGUGUCACACCCAUGACAUUAUACAGAGUUGUGUCCUGAUAUGUCACAAACACACACACACACACACUCAGAUGUAACCGUGUGUUGAUGAUGGUUCUCUCUGUCAGUUCUAUCAGGAGGAGUUGGGUCGUGAGAGGCUCCGUGUGCAGCAGGAGAUGCAGAGUCUGAUAGAAGAGCAGCAGCUGCAUCAGUAUGAACACGCCGCUGGACAGUGUGUGAAUGAACUACAGCAAGCGCAGCUACAGCUCGAGUCUCUGCAGAACCAGAUCCACGAGAGCGAGUCCAGCAACAAGGAGCUUCAGGAGAAACUGUGUGAGAUGGAAUCAGAGCUCCAGUCCAUCAGACAAGCUGCUCAGAACCAAGAGAGAACCAUCCAGAACCUCACAGACAGCCUGAGAACUAAAGACACAGAGGUCAUUACACACAUAUCACAAAAGAGAUGUCUAGUGUGUGAACAAUGUGUUUCCUUCUCCUAACCGUCAUUAACUGAGUGAUUCAGUCGUCGCGUGGAUGGUGAGCUGAAAUAGAAAGUUAAGUCUCCUCGGUUACAUAAAAGUUCUAAAAUAAAUAAAAUAUUUAAAAAAAUAUUUUCUUAAGAAGAUUUGUGUUGGUGACAGAGCCAACAUGUUAUCUGAAAUGUUUGCUAAAGAUUCAGUGUUGAUCAACUCCAUAAAUUCAAUAAAACAUAAAUAAAUAAAUAAAUAAAAAGUCUCAACAGCUUUUCGAUUGAAGUGCAGGUUUGUAAUGUGCUGUGUAUUUAAAGUUGUUAUUUGUAAAAAUCCUGUCAGGAGAUGGAGGGAUCUGUUGUUUUAAUUACUGUAUCUGUGCUGUAUGAUUGACUUGAUUAUGAAGUAUAAAGAAACAAGUACCUUAUCUGAGCAGAUAUUUAGAAGAAUGUGGGUCUCCAAACAGUUGUAUGAAAAUAAUGAUAAUUUAAAUUUUUGGAUGAACUGUCCCUUUAAUUGUGAUGAUUUUUAAGAAGAUAUUUAUUAAGAAUGGCUAGGAACCACCUUGGGUGCUUCGAGGCACCAUUUCCUAAUUUCAGUUCUUUAAUAUUAACCCCCCCCCCACCCAGGUUAUUUUUCCUGCUAUUGACAUUUUUAAUAAUAAUAAAAAAAAAAUAAAAAAACUGAAAACUGAAAACCUAGAACAAAUUAAUAUAAAACAUUGUUUAUUGAUAAACAACAACAAUAUCCGUAAUUUCAAAUAAAUAAUCACCUUAAAUAGUCAAUACUGCACAAUACAAUACCAUUUAUGGAAACAUUAGUGUUAAUACUGUUAUGAACAAAAAAUAAACAUUUACACCUUGACAAAACUGUAAACAAUAAAUGUCCCAAAAAAUAAUACAAUUUAAAUUAAUAAAUUCAAUUACAAAUUUAAUUAAAAUUUUAUGUACAGUGCAAUCAAUAGUAACAUUUUCUUUCUAUUCUAAAAGUAGGUCACUGAUUGGGAAAAUUCACACACAACAUUUUAAGAAAUUGAUAAACCUCAAGAUAGCUGUAUACAUGUAGCUUAAAGGGAUAGUUCACACAAAAAUGAAAAUUUGAUGUUUAUCUGCUUACCCCCAGGGCAUCCAAGAUGUAGGUGACUUUGUUUCUUCAGUAGAACACAAAUUAUAAUUUUUAACUCCAGUCGUUGCAGUCUCUCAGCUGUACAAUGCAUGGUAAUGGUAACAGAAUCUAUGAGAGUAAAAUAAAAACAUGCACAGACAAAUCCAAAUUAAACCCUGUGGCUCGUGACGAUGAUGACAUUUUCUUGUGAAAAUAGUCCGUGAUCUCCUCCUGAAUUCCCAACAGAUACAGCCAAAAAUUAGUGCACUUCAGUGUACUUUUAAUUGCUUUUGUGUAUAAUGUUGAAUAGAACAUGGGCACUCAUAGUAAGAUGAACUCAUGUCGGCAGGUUCGUCAGCAAGUAGUUCCUCAGCAUCAGGAAAGUCUGCUCUCACCAGAUGGGUCUCCUGUUAUUAUUACAGCUGUUCUGAGAGUCUGUGUAGGCUGUUCAUUGGAAAAAAAAAGAGGGAUUUACAUAAAAUUAAAUAACAAAAUAUUUACAUUAUUCAUUUAGCACAGGCUAAAUACUUGGUAGGGGCACCUUUUGCUUUAAUUACUGCCUCAGUUCGGCGUGGCAUGGAGGUGAUCAGUUUGUGGCACUGCUGAGGUGGUAUGGAAGCCCAGGUUUCUUUGACAGUGGCCUUCAGCUCAUCUGCAUUUUUUGGUCUCUUUUUUCUCAUUUUCCUCUUGACAAUAUACCAUAGAUUCUCUCUGGGGUUCAGGUCUGGUGAGUUUGCUGGCCAGUCAAGCACACCAACACCAUGGUCAUUUAACCAACUUUUGGUGCAUUUGGCAGUGUGGCCAGGUGCCAAAUCCUGCUGGAAAAUGAAAUCAGCAUCUUCAAAAAGCUGGUCAGCAGAAGGAAGCAUGAAGGGCUCCAAAAUUUCUUGGUAAGCGGGUGCAGUGACUUUGGUUUUCAAAAAACACAAUGGACCAACACCAGCAGAUGACAUUGCACCCCAAAUCAUCACAGACUGUGGAAACUUAACACUGGACUUCAAGCAACUUGGGCUAUGAGCUUCUCCACCCUUCCUCCAGGACCUUGGUUUCCAAAUGAAAUACAAAACUUGCUCUCAUCUGAAAAGAAGACUUUGGGCCACUGGGCAACAGUCCAGUUCUUCUUCCCCUUAGCCCAGGUAAGACGCCUCUGACGUUGUCUGUGGUUCAGCAAAUUCCUUGACACGUCUGUGUGUGGUGGCUCUUGAUGCCUUGACCCCAGCCUCAGUCCAUUCCUUGUGAAGUUCACUCAAAUUCUUGAAUAGAUUUUGCUUGACAAUCCUCAUAAGGCUGUGGUUCUCUCGGUUGGUUGUGCAUCUUUUUCUUCCCCACUUUUCCUUCUACUCAACUUUCUGUUAACAUGCUUGGAUACAGCACUCUGUGAACAGCCAGCUUCUUUGGCAAUAAAUUUUUGUGUCUUACCCUCCUUGUGAAGGGUGUCAAUGAUUGUCUUCUGGACAACUGUCAGAUCAGCAGUCUUCCCCAUCAUUCUGAACUUUUCCACGACAUUCUAAUUUAUUGAGAUGCACCUGUAUGUAUGCACACAUGCACAAACUUAAACUUACCUCAUUUAUCAUAUACGGUCCAGCACAGCAGGAUCAUCAUGUAACAGGUAGGGCAAGGCUAGGAUUUUUCAGAAGAUAAUAAAAGAAAAAAAGAAGAAGAAAAAAAAACUAGUUAAUAAACUAUAAAUAAUUGAAUGUUUUAGAAGGGUUUCUGGUGUGUCUCUGCAAUUGUUCACUUAUUUACACACCUUCAAAAGAUGGUAAUUAGGUUUCUUUUUUUUUUUUUUGUCUAGUACAGGUAUGCACACAUGCACAAACUUAAAACUUAACCUCAUUUAUCAUAUACGGUCCAGCACAGCAGGAUCAUCAUGUAACAGGUAGGGCAAGGCUAGGAUUUUUUCAGAAGAUAAUAAAAGAAAAAAAGAAGAAGAAAAGAAAAAACUGUUAAUAAACUAUAAAUAAUUGAAUGUUUUAGAAGGGUUUCUGGUGUGUCUCUGCAAUUGUUCACUUAUUUACACACCUUCAAAAGAUGGAAUAGGCUUUUUUUUUUUUUGUCAGACAGCAACAGACAUCAGCAACUGUCCACUGCCUCGCAUUUGAGUGUCCACUACAGAGCCAUAUUCAUGAAACAUAUGCAGAACGCAUUUCUUUAUUAACUGCUGAAUAAAAAAGAAUACAUGGAUAAUUUUUUAACUGUUGCAUUCAGUUCAAUGUAACAGUGUAUACAGUCAUAUAUAAUUUUGGAUUAGGCCGACUAGCAUAGCGGCUAUUAAAUUAAUGGUUAAAACAAACAUUUUAAAAUAAAAACAUACAGUUAAGCAAGUCAGUCUAGGAAUUAGUGUGCAAAUAGUAAAUCUGUGUAAUUAAGUUGGACUCCUUACUCACCUUGCGCAGCGGUUGUUUCUUUGAUGAAAGCAGCCGUUACUUCUUUGGAUUUGAAAUCGCUCUUGCACGCGCGCGAACUAACAGCAGGAGUGCAAGGACGCCAAACCCUCAUGCAUUUUCUUCUUGACGACAGCUAAACAAUUAUUUCUGAAUAAUUUCAACUUAAUUUCAUUAGAGAAAUAAACAAAUAAAAAAAUAAAUAUUACUCUUGUACUGAUUGUGAUAAUUAGCGGAUUUUUAAUGACAUCAAUGUGUUGAGUCAUAUUUAGUUCAAUAAUAUUUUUAAUGUUUGCUUUAAAGUUUCAGGGUAAACUAUCCACCUUCAAAUGAUUUAACAUUUCGCCUGUUCCAAUAAAACUAUUUUUAGUUAUUGCAGCAUUUAAAUUAUACAACAAAUUUAUUUAAAAUCCAACAAAUGGAGGCAGAUAAAAGUGCAAUCUGGAGGUAAUAAAUUAAUUAAUCUGUAAUAAUAUGGUGUAGCCACUGGAUGCCUGUAUGACCGUAUAUGUAUAUAUUCCCUAUUGCUGAGAACAGUGUUUUCAGAAAUAAUUUUUACAUUUUAGUUGGAUAUUCUGUGGCUGAUUUGUAGAUCUUGUAUGUCCUUUUGUUAUUUUAUUUGUAUUUAUUGAUUUAUUUAUGUUAUGAGGUCAAUUCUGAUUGAACAGAACAAGUGUGACAAUUUUUACAAUUUAUUAUUUUCUAAUCAUAGAAGUUUUUUUUUUUUUUUUCACAUGGCAAGUGCCACAAAAGUCAUUACAUUCCAAUAAAGUAAAUAUUAAUAAUAAUAAUAAUAAUUU